CCUACGGGCGGCAGCAGUGGGGAAUAUUGCACAAUGGGCGCAAGCCUGAUGCAGCCAUGCCGCGUGUGUGAAGAAGGCCUUCGGGUUGUAAAGCACUUUCAGCGGGGAGGAAGGCGGUGAGGUUAAUAACCUCAUCGAUUGACGUUACCCGCAGAAGAAGCACCGGCUAACUCCGUGCCAGCAGCCGCGGUAAUACGGAGGGUGCAAGCGUUAAUCGGAAUUAAUGGGCGUAAAGCGCACGCAGGCGGUCUGUCAAGUCGGAUGUGAAAUCCCCGGGCUCAACCUGGGAACUGCAUUCGAAACUGGCAGGCUAGAGUCUUGUAGAGGGGGGUAGAAUUCCAGGUGUAGCGGUGAAAUGCGUAGAGAUCUGGAGGAAUACCGGUGGCGAAGGCGGCCCCCUGGACAAAGACUGACGCUCAGGUGCGAAAGCGUGGGGAGCAAACAGGAUUAGAUACCCCUGUAGUC
rnacentral:rRNA from 1 species